rnacentral:lncRNA from 1 species
UUCCUGGGACUGAAGCUUGGAAGAUGUGCCAAUCUCCUGACCUGAGGUUCUGGCUCCAUCUUCUAGGUGGAGAAGACCCAGCUUUUAAGUCAGGCUUUUGAGCAAUUCUGCAAUUGUUUCAAACCUACUCAUGGAUUCCCCAGCUAUGGAACAGCCUGAAGGAGCCUCAUUGUGAAAGCAAGCACAAGCCUUGGGCUUGCUACUCACAGACCAAGUGGGAAAGCCUGGCUCUGCUGGAGAACUCCACUGAGAAAUUAAUCACUGGCCAGAUCCUUAUCGAAAGCUGCUUGAAGAAAUCUCCUUGCCAUUUCCAGACUGGAGACCUUUUGUUUUCAUUCAGCGAAGUACCAGUUCUGUAAGAGACAGCUUUCUCCACUCAGCAUCUUUGGGACACCCAUCGAUCAACGACAGGGAAUUGAAGCCCCCAGUUCCCAGCCACUCUGAAGCAGGUGCUCAAACCCAUCACCUGAGCAGAGCUGAGUUUGGCCUCCUGAUGGGAGGAGAUGGGACUGAGAGCUCAACAAUGUCUCUGAAAACUGAAGCUGCUGAAUGGUAAGUAAUUAAAAAAAGCCUAUUAAAUUGCAUUUUUAAUGAGUCUCAGUAGCUCGGUAGCUGAGAUUGUAGCUUGGUGGCUGCUGGUUUGUAAAAGCAGGAGGUGAAUUACAGAUGCAGAAUGCUCCCUGCCCGACAGUAAGAUCCCAGGGAAGCCACAAGUCACGAAGACAUUUGGGUCUCAGGCCUGUUUAGUGUUUAGCACACACGAAGAGGAAACUCACAGCGAUGCACCCCGCUUCCUGCAGGGCUAUGGGACCUGUGAGCUUCUGGGUGGAAAGUGGUUUUGUCGUGUGCAGGCAAAGAUUUUGACUAUGGACUUCCCAAAGAGGGAGCUUUGGAGGGAGGGGACAAAGCACACCUUGGCAGCAGUCCUCAGAAAAGUGCUUGCUCAUGGCUGCAUUACUUAAAUCUCCUCGAUGUGCUUUCCAGGAGGGUGGCUGAGAGUGAUGUUCCUGAAAGGGCAGCACCACAGCCCCUUGGUGGAGAAGCUUGCACAUCANNNNNNNNNNCACCUAUAAUAGCAAGUUCUUAGACCCGAGUGCCCCGUUACUGUUUGUACAGUCACUCCAGACUCUCCACCCACAGCCUCUUGUGGCAUCCCACCUCUGACCAGCGCAUCCCUGCUCCCCUUGGUGACUUUGUGCUCUGCUGCCAGAGGAAGCCCUGCCCUAAGUUUGGGUCUCAGCUCCUUAAAGCCCCUCAUAACUAAGGGUCAGUUAUUUGCCCGAGUGCCCCGGAGCUGGUUCAGCUAGGAGGAGUCAAAUAUCUUUUGCAAAUAGCCCAAUUCUGUGGCUGUUAAAAUCCAGAAGUCUUGCCUCAAAAAAAAAAAAAAAAAAAAAAGGCAUUUAACCUGUUGUUGCCUUUAUCAGCUGCUCUGGAGGGAAAAUCAGGUUGCAGCAGUCAGGUGCUUGGCAAAGGUUCCCCUCCUGUCCAUGCUCCAGCUCCAACAUCAGCAGCUUUCUGUCGGUCUGGUCCCUACUAGCCAUGCAUAGCUUCACGUACCGCUGGCUAUUAAUUGCAGAGCAAAUUAACCUUCCUCAGACCAUAUGUUGCUGCUGUAAAGUAUGCAAAUAUGUUGUUAGUGACUGUAA